CCACGCCGCCGCCCCUCGCUUCUCCUGGCUCGCUCGUCGGGCUUCUUCACCAGAUCCAAUCGAGGCACUCCCGCCGCCUCCCUCCCAUCAAUUUUCCUAGCCUCAAUCAACUCGCCCCACCGCCUCCCUCCCAUGGAUUUGCCAAGUCUCACUCCCACAGAAUCGCCUAGCCCCGUCUUGACCCCGUCGCAAGGAGGAGUCGUGUUUCCGUCCGCCAUGCCCACCAUGCAUCCGUCGUAUUUCCACACCACCACCACACACGCCCAAGCUCUCUCUCUCUAUCUCUGCACAGAUCUUACCGUCUUUGGUUUUUCAGGUCGCUGGUGGUGUAGUGGCAGCAAGUACACGCUCCAGAACCGUCUCGAUGCGCGCAGCCGUCGACCUCGCGCGGCGUGAUGGACGAAGUCCCCUUCUGUCCCCGGCCCUGUUGGCCCGUCUGAUGCCGCUUUCCACUUCGGGCCCGGCGAUGUGUUCGACGCCCACCGACUUCACGACCCCCCCGACGCGGCACGUUCGUCCUCCACCUGUGUUCCGAGGCCCUGGCGAUGGUAGGUUCCUCCCCACUUCCUUCCAGAUAGAACGUGGGUAAUUUCAUCCCUUUCUCUUCUAUAGAUGCAGGGCAGACUCCACUUCACGGCUGAACAGAACCUGCGGUAUAGUUUUUUUUCACACAUUUGUCCUCUUUCCUGAAAUUCUUAGACUCUACAUGGUAGAUCAGACUAACACUUCGUGAUGAAUUACAAUGGUUUUAGGGAAAGUAACAAGUCUGAAAUAACCAGGUUUGAUUGGUCAAUUGAACUAACCAAUGUUCUGGACUCGGUAUAGACUAACUGUUUCUGCUCUGUGAUUCUACACAUCUCGGUCCAUAUAUUACUCUACCUAAUUUGCUUUGCAGCCCGUUCUAUUGAAUCACCUUUAUUUGUUUAGAAGAUUGUAUUCCAGCGGAUGCCCUCAAUGGUACAUAUUUGGACCCUCAUAUCGCAGUACCCACACACACACACACUAUAUUUGUCUUUAUAUUGAUUAUAUCAUUUUAUUGCUCUCUCUAAUCACGGGAUGAACUGAUGCAGGUUGUUGGCAGUCAUGUAAACCAGAUCUAAGCUUUCAGUCAGGGUACUUACCACUCACUCAGCACGGUUUCAGCUGUCUUCUUUUGCCUGUAUUGUGUUCCAUAGAUCAGCGGAACUUGCUAUAUUUGGAAUCAGUUCUGAACAUGUUAGGCAAAAUAUUGAAAGGAAUACAUAUAGUAAUAGGUAGAAUAUUAUAUUCCGAGGCAAGAUUAUCAUCUAUUGUUCAAAAAAUUUACAUGUAUCGGAUGGUGUUCUAAUAAUAAAUAUUGAAUUAUUUGUUACUACAUUCA